rnacentral:misc_RNA from 1 species
AAAGAAAAGAAAAGAAAAGAAGAGGAAGCAUCACCAAGUUGUUUUUAUCAUUUCCAGAUAUCAGAAAUGAAACUUGGGAAAUAGCUAUUACAGCAUCAGAAACGUAUGUUGGAUUAACAGUUUAACACUUAGAUGCCGAGUAAAAUUCACCCAGAGAGGCAAGUAGGAUAACUAUACAUGUGUCUGUGGGUAUCAGCAACUGCAAAUGCACAGUAUAGCUUCCUCUCAUUUAGAGGCCAAAAUGCAACAAAAUGAAAAACGGUUUGAGAAUGGAUUGCAAGAGCUUCUAACAUGUAGAGUUGUAGACUCACCUCGCUUAUGACAUCAAUGGUG